rnacentral:rRNA from 1 species
CCGAACGCGUGGGGAGCACACACGCUGCUAUCCCAUCGUAGUCCACGCCGUAAACGCUGAGUGCUCAGUGGUAGAGGGUUUCCGCCCUUUAGUGCUGAAGUUAACGCAUUACGCACUCCGCCGGGGGAGUACGGCCGCAAGGGUGAAACGCAAAGGAAUUGCGGGGGGCCCGCCCAAGCGGGGGUGCAGGUGGUUUAAUUCGAAGCACCCCGAAGAACCUACCCAGGGCUUGAC